AAAAUUAUUUAUUCCCAACAGCAUAUAUAUUAUAAAAAAACACAAUGAUAGUGAUAAUAAUAACACUAAUAAUACUAAUAAUAAUAAUAAUAAUAAUAAUAAUAAUAAUACAAAGCAACUAAUUUAGUCCCAAGAGGAAGUUGAACAAGAUUUAGUCAGUUCAGUUUAGUUGACCUGCAAUAAGCCGUGUUUCCAAACAGGUAGGAAGUUGAAGUCCAUUUAUCAGUUUAUAUAGAUUUAUCAGUCCUACCGCAAUACAGCGGUGGUCAGGUGGCUCGCCAUCCUGCGCUGAUCAGGGGUUUGAUAAUGGGGAAAAAACUCUGACUUAAUCAAGGUUAAAAACAUAAAUUAGCAUUCACAGUUAAAUUGGAACAGCGUUCUACUGCCAUUACAAUUGAAAAAUAAAUCCAUAAAUAGAAAAGUCAAAUAAUUAAUGUCAUAUUUUAUAUAACAGCCAAUAAACCAAUAACCAAAGACAUAACAUUUGAUUCUUAUAAUGAAUUUCAUUCAAAAAUAAUGUUAUAGAAAACCAUUUGCAUGGGUCCCAUCAAAGUAAAGUAAUUUAGCAAUAAGAGUAAUAAACAUUAUCCAAGGUUAAUCAAAUAUUUCCAACACACAUUUAAUUAUAUGUGUUGUGCAACACGUUCAAUAAUCUAAAAGGAAUUCAAAUCAAUUCAGAAGUCCCAAAAGCAUGGCAUUCACUUAGAAAAGUAACAAAAAACUUCCAAAAUGGACAAAACUACAAAAAUCAGAUCUCUCACUCAACUCUUCAAACAGUAAUUUAACAUUCAGCCAUAGUGAAAAACUGUCUGUCACCAACUGUCUGCCAUCUAUAAUUCAGUUUUGAGAUCCUUUCCCAGACACCUUAACACCUACGCACAUCCUGGGCCUUUUGACCUCUCAUAAUAGGACUAGGGUCUUAUGGGGCUAGAUUUCACAAUGAACUCACCUGAAACCUUGGCUGAUUGUGACCUACACCUGUUUUUACACCUUAGCUAUUGUGAUUAGGUAGAGGAUCAUUAGGGGGUCCAUGUCCCUUUUGGGGGGACACUCUUCUCGAUUGAGAGGUGAAAUGUCUUCAAGCAACUUAAAGAAGUUCAGACGCUCAUUAGACUUGAUGUUUGUUUCUAAAGAUGUUGUUGAUGAGACUUUGUAGAAAGCAGCUGGUCUGAGUGAUGUGAUCAGAGUGCAGUAGAUAAUGUCUGACAGCAGUUUGAAGAGGAAAUGGAUUCUGUUCUGUUCUUCACUCAUCACCUACCUGACAGCUGACACCUCACACCUGUUUCUCACCUGCAGGUCAGACAGGAGGAGACACAGAGGAUGGAGUCAUUAGAUAUAAAGUGAUAUAUUUUGUUUUGUUUCUUGUACCAGCUCUUGUGGCUGUUAUUUUGAUCUGUAAAAAAAAGAACAAAAAUAAUCCCCCACUUCCUACUCCUCUGACUGAUGAAGUAGGAAAUGAAGUUUACUGAACAAUCUCUGCGUUGAUAUUAGGGCUGCCACGAUUACGUCGACUAUCAAAAUCAUUGACAACUAAUUAAAUAGUCGACGCGUCGUUUGAAGCUUCGUAAGAUCCCAAAAGACGCAGGAAUAAGUAGUAGGAUUUAAGAGGGUAAUAACGGACUGAAACAGAAGAUGGCAGCACUGCAUGUACAAGGAUGCCAGCUGCCGUUAAACCCCGAAGAAGAAGAAGCUGUGUCCCAGAAUUCAUAGUGCGGCCCUGCUCAGUUUACAACAAUGGCGGCAGCUAGUUAGUUUUAAUAUUACUCUUAUUAUUCUUUCUGGGUCACAAAAUAAAUGUUUAACAUAUUUUCAGGCGAGAAUGUAGCUGUGUAAACCUCAAAUAUCUGCUCAGUUUAUCAAGACACCACAUAUUUUCAAAAGCACCCCGACGUCUUCUGUUACCCACCAGCUCGAUAGCUGGUGUUUGGGGUUCAAGGCUCACCAGAGCCGGUGAGAACACCGGACUCCCGACAAAUCAUUUUCAAACCUACCGCGGUCUUUCGCUACUCAGGUUAAUUUAUAAUUAAUCUUUACUAUAUUAUUAGACCAUUAUUUAUCCAUGUAAAAAUCUCAUUAAGAUUCAAAUCACAUUUCCUAGAGAGACCUAGCAAGAUGACAACAAAAGUAAAAACACAUACAGCAUAUAAUAACAUAACAAUAUCUAUAUCAAAUUGAUAUUACUAAAAUUUUUAAAUAGUGUUAUGUAAAAUCAAAAGUAUCUCUAAAACAUCAAACAUCGAUCAAACUCUGAUUCGAUGUACAAGGAUCUUUGAUAUAUCAAAUCUUGUGAUUUGACAUCAAUAGGGCAGCAUGGUGGCAUAGUGGUUAGCACUGUUGCCGCACAGCAAGAAAGUCCUGAGUUCAAUUCCACCAUCAGACCGGGGUCUUUCUGUGUGGAGUUUGCGUGGGUUCCCUCCAGGUACUCCGGCUUCCUCCCACCGUCCAAAGACAUGCAGCUUGUGGGGAUAGGUUAAUUGGAUAAUCCAAAUUGCCACUAGGUGUGAAUGGGAGUGUGAAUGGUUGUCUGUCCCUGUGUUUUAGCCCUGCGACAGAGUGGCGACCUGUCCACGGUGUACCCUGCCUCUCGCCCUAUGACAGCUGGGAUAGGCUCCAGCGCCCCCCGCGACCCUGAAAAGCAUAAGCGGAAGCGAAUGGAUGGAUGGAGAUCACUUGUCAUCGAUCAAACUCUGAUUCGAUGUACAAGUAUCUUUGAUAUAUCAAAUCUUGUGAUUUGACAUCAAUAGAUCACUUGUCAUCAAUCAAACUCUGAUUCGAUAUCCAAGUAUCUUUGAUAUAUCAAAUCUUGUGAUUUGACAUCAAUAGAUCACUUGACAUCGAUUACACUCUGAUUCGAUUACGAGGCAGCAGAGAGGACCUUGUAUGGGUUUACUACCACAUUCUAAAGGUCCUGGCAUUCUACUGAAGUAGGGAAGGCGUCAUUAGAUGAUGACUCCUAGUGAUGGUAAGAUGAAGCCUCGUGAGGAACUGAAGGUUUCCAUCCAACUGGUCGACUCAUGGUUCAAAGCAUUGUGAUGAUUCAUUUGCUCUACUGCGCCAUCAAGUGGACGAUUCAAGUGAAACAGGCUCUUUGAUUGUAAUGAUGUGAUGUGUAAACCUCUAAACUGAAUAAAUAAAUUGUUUUCAUGGUUAUUUAUUACGAAUAUUGUCUCAGCAUGUCUGAUACAAAAGAGAAAGUGGAAACUAUCAGGACAGAGCUUUGGUAUGAUUGUGUAACUGUGUAAUCAUGCUUAUGUACAUCUGGAUAAUCACACAAACUGUGUGGCGCUUCACUUUUUAAUAAACCAGUGAUUCUUGAGAUAAGGGACAAAACAUGUCCAGCAGAUAAAACCCAAUUUUGUGGUUAAAAAUAUGCAUACAAGUGUUAACCCAACUGCCUAAAAGACAAACCAAGGCAAUGUUUAUACUACAAAACUAUGAUUUUUUAUAAAUAUAUAUUUAUUUUAAAUGGUACAAUACAUUACCAGUACCUUAAAAAUCCAUUGUCCUGAAGCAGGUGUGAUAAUAUUAAAAUACAGAAAAAAAAUUAAAAGUAAUGUAAAAUUAAACAUCAUGGCUCUCGUCACUAAGUAUUAAAGUCAAUACCUUAUAUCAAAAUAUGCAAUUGAAAAUUUAUUUUUACAUAUUUUUUAAGUGAUUAAAAUCGUGCGUCAAGUCGAUGUAAUCCAAGAUUUGAUUAUUUUUUCUUGUAAAAACAGCCUCAUUUAGGUAGAUUGUUGAGGCCAUAAGCAAAUGAUGAAAAACAAGAUGGCUUCUGUCAGAAAAACAUGUGUUAUGAGAGAAAGUAUGGUAUUUUGUCAACACCAUCAGAUGUCUGAUACAAAAGAAAGUGGAAACUAUCAGGACAACGUUUUGGCAUGCUUAUUUACAUCUGGAUAAUGACACAAACUAGUGUGUGGUGCUUCAGUUUUUAAUAAACUAAAAGACAGAAAUCAGAUUAUAGGAUCUGUGGUGUUUAUUUAUAUUAUGGUUCUUAUCAUUUGUGAUAUUUAUUACUCUGUGCAUACUUUAUUAGGAGAGAUGAGAUAUUAAAAAAAAGCUCUUCCUUGCUGGUUACAUUGAAGAAGAAGCUCAACUAUGUAGCACGUACGUAAUCAACUUCAACAACACAAUGUGAUGGGGAAAUCAGCUGUGUUUUUCUGCCCAUUUGAUUUCGAAUCUGGCACACACCAGAAAACCAGUUCCUGAAUCAGUCACGUGAUACGGACUGCCCGCGAGGCCUCGAGCGUCACUGCAUACGUAAUCAAAGUGUGCCUCGAUACGUGCUUCACAAAAACAACCUGAGAUUACCCGACACACGCUUUGGAGCUUCGACACACACGACACAUCGUUAGGCUUCAGUGAUCAAUUACUGUAAUAAUUAUCAUGUCAUGCAUGAUAAUUAUUACAGCAAAGCCUAAAAAGCAUCAAAUGUCUGAACUCAUGUCAGGUUUAAAUUGACUGACCCUGAUUUGUUGCACUGCUCAGCAGUGACAUCACAACUUAAUUGAAAUGCCACUGAGGUUAUUUUGCGUUUGACAUUCAACAAAACACCAGUGAAAACAGAAAACCACCAGAAUGUGGAGAACACAGACGUCAUGGGUUUGGUUGAGUUACAGACUGAUGAGUGGAGAAAGUAGGAAACAGCUUAUUCUUCUAUAUCUUACACAGAGUGCUGUAAAUCUGUUAAUACCACCAGUGACACAAAGUAAAGUUGUACAUGUACUUGAGUACUUAUAGAGUAUAAUUCAUACUGUAUGUUUGAAUCGUAUUGAUGUAUUUUUUUUUUGGUAGUUUUCUAUUUCUGCUCUACUGUAUUUUGAAUUCAAACAUUGUACUCCCUGACAUUUAUUUAAUUACUAUGUCAUGCUACAUUAUUAUAGAUAAAGUUACUCAGCAGUAUGUAAGCUGUUCUAACCAUCUAAAGC
ensembl:lncRNA